rnacentral:lncRNA from 1 species
AGUGUGUUUAUCAAGAACAAGACGAUGUUGGGAAAACUGGUGUGUCUUUGUCUAAAGAUCUUAUGGCUAUUGCUGGUGGUGCUCUUAAGACGAAUAUAACAACUUUGGGUCCUCUUGUGUUACCUGUUAGUGAACAGCUUUUGUUUUUUACUACUUUGGUUAUUAAGAAAUGGUUUAAUGCAAAAACUAAGCCUUAUAUACCUGAUUUUAAGCUUGCUUUUGAGCAUUUUUGUAUUCAUGCUGGUGGUAGAGCUGUGAUUGAUGAGCUUGAGAAGAAUUUGCAGCUUAUGCCUGAUCAUGUUGAGGCAUCUAGAAUGACUUUGC